UAAUACGGAGGGUGCAAGCGUUAUCCGGAAUCACUGGGUUUAAAGGGUGCGUAGGCGGUCUGGUAAGUCAGUCGUGAAAUCGCCGGGCUUAACCCGUGCAACUGCGAUUGAUACUGCCGGACUUGAAUGAGGUUGAGGUAGGCGGAAUGUGGCAUGUAGCGGUGAAAUGCUUAGAUAUGCCAUAGAACACCGAUUGCGAAGGCAGCUUGCUGGACCUUCAUUGACGCUGAGGCACGAAAGCGUGGGGAGCAAACAGG
rnacentral:rRNA from 1 species